rnacentral:rRNA from 1 species
AUGAACGCUGGCGGCGUGCCUAAUCCAUGCAAGUCGAGCGAACGGACGAGAAGCUUGCUUCUCUGAUGUUAGCGGCGGACGGGUGAGUAACACGUGGAUAACCUACCUAUAAGGCUGGGAUAACUUCGGGAAACCGGAGCUAAUACCGGAUAAUAUUUUGAGCCGCAUGGUUCAAAAGUGAAAGACGGUCUUGCUGUCACUUAUAGAUGGAUCCGCGCUGCAUUAGCUAGUUGGUAAGGUAACGGCUUACCAAGGCAACGAUGCAUAGCCGACCUGAGAGGGUGAUCGGCCACACUGGAACUGAGACACGGUCCAGACUCCUACGGGAGGCAGCAGUAGGGAAUCUUCCGCAAUGGGCGAAAGACUGACGGAGCAACGCCGCGUGAGUGAUGAAGGUCUUCGGAUCGUAAAACUCUGUUAUUAGGGAAGAACAUAUGUGUAAGUAACUGUGCACAUCUUGACGGUACCUAAUCAGAAAGCCACGGCUAACUACGUG